UGCGAUACUUGGUGUGAAUUGCAGAAUCCCGUGAACCAUCGAGUCUUUGAACGCAAGUUGCGCCCGAAGCCCUCGUGGCCAGGGCACGUCUGUCUGGGCGUCA
rnacentral:rRNA from 1 species